rnacentral:tRNA from 1 species
GUUUGAAUAGUUUAAAUAGAAUAAUAAUUUGUGGUGUUAUAGGUAUAAAUUUAUUUCAGACU